rnacentral:rRNA from 1 species
UACAGAGGGGGCGAGCGUUGUUCGGAAUUACUGGGGCGUAAAGGGCGCGUAGGCGGCCAACUAAGUCAGACGUGAAAUCCCUCGGCUCAACCGGGGAACUGCGUCUGAUACUGGAUGGCUUGAAUUCGGGAGAGGGAUGCGGAAUUCCAGGUGUAGCGGUGAAAUGCGUAGAUAUCUGGAGGAACACCGGUGGCGAAGGCGGCAUCC